rnacentral:misc_RNA from 1 species
GAUGAAGAACGCAGCGAAAUGCGAUAAGUAAUGUGAAUUGCAGAAUUCAGUGAAUCAUCGAAUCUUUGAACGCACAUUGCGCCCCUUGGUAUUCCGGGGGGCAUGCCUGUUCGAGCGUCAUUUCAACCCUCAAGCUUCUGCUUGGUCUUGGGCCGUGCCGGCAACUGCUGGCCUUAAAACUAGUGGCGGUGCCAUCGAGCUCUACGCGUAGUAAUUCUAUCUCGCGUCUGGGCUUCGGUGGACGCUGGCCAGCAACCCCCAAUUUUCUAUGGUUGACCUCGGAUCAGGUAGGGAUACCCGCUGAACUUAAGCAUAUCAAUAAGCGGAGGA